AGGGAAUAUUGGACAAUGGGUGCAAGCCUGAUCCAGCCAUGCCGCGUGCAGGAAGAAGGCUUUCUGAGUUGUAAACUGCUUUUGCCAGGGGAUAAAAUACGGAUGCGUCCGGAAUUGAAGGUACCUGGUGAAUAAGCCACGGCUAACUCUGUGCCAGCAGCCGCGGUAAUACAGAGGAGCCAAGCGUUGUCCGGAUUGACUGGGCGUAAAGCGCACGCAGGCGGACGCGCGCGUGGGGUGUGAAAUCUGGCCGCUUAACGGCCAGGCGCCAUCCCAUACGGCGCGUCUGGAGCAAUGCAGAGGUCGGUGGAAUUGCCGGUGUAGUGGUGAAAUGCGUAGAGAUCGGCAGGAACACCCAGGGGGAAACCAGCCGACUGGGCAUUCGCUGACGCUGAGGUGCGAGAGCGUGGGGAGCGAAC
rnacentral:rRNA from 1 species